AAUCAACGCUGGCGGCGUGCCUCAGACAUGCAAGUCGAACGAUUAAAGCUCUCUUCGGAGAGUGCAUAAAGUGGCGCACGGGUGAGUAACACGUAAGUAAUCUACCUUCGAGUGGGGAAUAACGUCCGGAACGGACGCUAAUACCGCAUAACGCAGCGGCAUCGCAAGAUGACAGUUGUUAAAGAUUUAUCGCUUGAAGAGGAGCUUGCGGCAGAUUAGCUUGUUGGUAAGGUAACGGCUUACCAAGGCUACGAUCUGUAUCCGGUCUAAGAGGACGGUCGGACACACUGACACUGAAUAACGGGUCAGACUCCCACGGGAGGCAGCAGUC
rnacentral:rRNA from 1 species